AGGCUCGUAGCUCAGCUGGUUAGAGCACCACCUUGACAUGGUGGGGGUCGUUGGUUCAACUCCAAUCGAGCCUACCA
rnacentral:tRNA from 1 species